rnacentral:lncRNA from 13 species
AAAAUAGGAAUCAAAAAGCAAAAAAUGGAUUUCCAAGAAUUCCGGAGAUAAAAAUCCUAAGUUUUGAUUAAUAUUAAUAUAUUAAUUAACAGCUUCAAUCACAAAAUGUUAAUGUAAAUACAAUCAAACAAUUAAUAUUAUUUGAUGGAGUAUUCAAUUAUACAUUAUAUGUUUCAAAUCAAAUAUAUGAACGUGCGAUUAAAGGUAUAAAAUAAAAUUUUUAUAUUUCUCUUAACAAAGAAUGUAAAAUAUUUUAACAGUAGAAAUCUUCUCAAUCUGUUAAAUGUUUGUAUUAAUAUCUAUUCAAGAAUAAUUCUUUCUGUAUUAGUUUUUCUGUAUUACCAUAUAAAUAAUAUAGGAUGUAUUUUGAAAAAGA